UCUAGCUACAACAGAUAGUAAGGGUGACAAGUUUUCUGAUUGUUGUCUGGACAUAAAGCACCAUUCACUGAACCUUCAUCCAAGUGUUGGAGACAGGGAAAGUCUCAUCAUUACAAGCUGCAGCCAGAGCCCAGAGAUUUAUGUUAAUGAGGAAGAAAUACACAAUCUGGAACCAAGGACGGAGAAUUUCAGGGCAGGUAGAGUCGGAAAGUUACUUGAAUUCAUAUAGAAGAAAUGCAUG